AACGUAGGUGGCGAGCGUUAUCCGGAUUUACUGGGCGUAAAGGGUGUGCAGGUGGACGGUUAAGUGGUGUAUGAAAUGUCCCAGCUCAACUGGGAGAGGUUAUGCCAGACUGGUCGUCUAGGGUAUGGGAGAGGGAUGUGGAAUUCCGGGUGUAGUGGUGAAAUGCGUAGAGAUCCGGAGGAACCCCAGAGGCGAAGGCGGCAUCCUGGCCCAUUACCGACCACUCAGACACGACAGCAUGGGGAGCGAACGGG
rnacentral:rRNA from 1 species